CCUUUUGCUUGCUGAGAUUGAUAAGCCUCUUCCGACCACCCCCGACGGAGCCGUGUCCUGCGGGUGUUUGUUGAGUGAGACACCUGACAACAGAUGUCUGGGGACAGGAGGCUUUUAUUGAUGUAAAUCAAGAAGAGGAAAAUAGUGGAUCUAAUACAAGAAAGAUGCAAAGAGAACCCCCAAACCAUGAAAUGCCCGCCCAUACCACAAGCGAGAUGCCAGG